UCUGUGUGUGCGUUCGGUGUGUGGCCGGGUGUGGGGGGUGUGUGCGCGGAGCACGUUUUAGCUGGAGUGCUUGGUGUGGUGUGUAUUUGGUUUGCGCUUUGACAUGCAGCAUGUGUUUGUGUGUGCACGCUUAUAGGUUGUAUGUUUCUGCCCGAUUAUAGUGGGAUUAUGUGGGUGCGGUUUGAAGGUGGGUGUGUGCUGUUCCUGCCGGGGUUUGUGGUCGUGCUGUGGUGAGUGUAUAUGUGUGUGCAAUGUGUGGAUGUGUGUGUGCCCGUUGAAGCUUGUGUGCAUAUGUGUGGAGUGUGUUUAUGCUUAGAUGCAGUGUGUCAAUGUGGGUUUACAGGUGGUGUCUGUUGAACUGUGUAGUGUGUGAAUGUGUGCGUGUGCAAGAUUUCUCUAUAAGUCAAUCUACUUGAGAUGUGUGUUCAAAGGUUUAUGCAUGUGAGGGUGCGGUGUGUGUCUUUUGGUGUGAUGUUCUCAUGUGUGUGGUGUGGACGCAUGUGGUCAGCUUACGUGCUUGGAUGAAGGGGUUGUGUGUGUCUUGAAGGGGGAUUGCCGCGUAAGUGUAUGGGUGCGGUGUGUGAGAGUACAGGGUUGUCUAAAAGAACCCAAGUGACCGUGUGUGUGGUUGGGGGCGGGGACGAGUGGGACGUUGGGCUGGGACUGAGAGAAGAAAGGAAGUAGGGGCCGCGACCCCGGCAGGGGUUCCCGCUGGUCUGAUCUUCACCGUGGGGGUUCGCCUGCCCGCCCACCUCUGUGUCGGCAAGGCCCGCUGGGGCAGGGUGUGAAUGUACCUGGCUGCUUAAAGGAAAGAAGAGGAGGGCACCGCACGUGAUUGGCCAGCCCUGUUCCUUCCUUUUGGACUAAUGGCUGAGUGACCCAACUGGAUUUCCUUGGCUUGAACCUGAGCAAGCCCUCUCUCUCUAAAGACUUGAAUGCCUACUCCCUUCACUGAGUGGUUUCUUCUGUUCCUGGCCAACUCAGAGUACUUGAGAGACUGGAGCAUUGGGGAUCAGAUUUUGGUGUGCAUCUGCAUCAUCUGGGAUACUUUUCAAAUGCAGACCCCCAGGCCUCGACUAAAGUGCUUCUGAUAUGGAUAAUUUAUAGAUCACACAUUGAGAAAUACUGCUGUGUGCUAUGGGAUUAAUAUUUGAUGUAUAAAAUGAAUAUGAGUAGCUACAUAACCACAGUUUUAUUGAUCAAAGACAUGAGUAGCUGGGAGAGAGAAACACUCUUUUCCCUUCCCUCCUCAGGUCACCUAAUCAUCAGAACCUUAUUCACUCCAAUGUCAGAAACCCACAUCAAGGAUGCAUUGAUCUGGCAUCCCCAGUGAGCUAAGUUCCCAGGAGACUAAGCCACCAGUAACCAUCACACCUCUCCACCUCCCUCAAUGAAGAACUUGCCACUACUGAAAGUAUAAGAUAAUAAUAGAUUAAAAUCCAUUAAUCAGUUAUGAAAUCGACGUGUACCAGAAAUAUUUAACUGCUGGCUCUACUACUUACCAACUCUGGGAUCUUAGAUGCAAUCCCUAGUGAGCCUGAUGAUCAAACUUCUGAGCGAUCAGAUUCCUGAAAGAGCAGUCUCUCCAUGACAAAAGAUGGAUUUGGAAAUGAGAAAGCAAUUUCUGUAAAACUUCUGCACCUGUGGUAGACUCAGAAACACACACAAGGCUAUAAAUGUCUUUAUGCACUUAUUAAUUUUCCAAUAAACAUACUCAACAGUACACCUAAUAGGGAAGUUCUGUGAUUAAUUUUUCAAACAAUAAGAAAAUAAAUGAUCAGAAAGGCUUAC
rnacentral:lncRNA from 1 species